CCUACGGGUGGCAGCAGUGGGGGAUAUUGGACAAUGGUGGAAACCCUGAUCCAGCGACGCCGCGUGAGUGAAGAAGUAUUUCGGUAUGUAAAGCUCUAUCAGCAGGGAAGAAAGUAAUGACGGUAACUGAGUAAGAAGCUCCGGCUAACUACGUGCCAGCAGCCGCGGAAAUACGUAGGGGGCAAGCGUUAGCCGGAAUGACUGGGUGUAAAGGGGGCGUAGACGGUGAUGCAAGACUGUAGUGAAAGGCGAGGGCCCAAUCCCCGGACUGCUAUGGAAACUAUAUAACUGGAGUGCAAGAGAGGCAGGCAGAAUGCCUGGUGUAGCGGUGAAAUGCGUAGAUAUUAGGAGGAACACCGGUAGCGAAGGCGGCCAUCUGGACUGAAACUGACGUUGAGGCUCGAAAGCGUGGGGAGCAAACAGGAUUAGAUACCCUGGUAGUC
rnacentral:rRNA from 1 species